GGGUCUCUCUGGUUAGACCAGAUCUGAGCCUGGGAGCUC
rfam:Human immunodeficiency virus type 1, isolate BH10, genome.